UGGGGGAUAUUGCACAAUGGGCGAAAGCCUGAUGCAGCGACGCCGCGUGGGGGAUGAAGGCUUUCGGGUUGUAAACCUCUUUCGCUAUCGAACAAGGCUCAUUUUUUGGUGGGUUGAGGGUAGGUGGAGAAGAAGCGCCGGCUAACUACGUGCCAGCAGCCGCGGUAAUACGUAGGGCGCGAGCGUUGUCCGGAAUUAUUGGGCGUAAAGGGCUUGUAGGCGGCUUGUUGCGCCUGCUGUGAAAACGCGGGGCUUAACUUCGCGCGUGCAGUGGGUACGGGCAGGCUUGAGUGUGGUAGGGGUGACUGGAAUUCCAGGUGUAGCGGUGGAAUGCGCAGAUAUCUGGAGGAACACCGAUGGCGAAGGCAGGUCACUGGGCCAUUACUGACGCUGAGGAGCGAAAGCAUGGGUAGCGAACAGG
rnacentral:rRNA from 2 species